rnacentral:pre_miRNA from 1 species
AGUGGGAUAGCUGGGUCAAAUGGUGGUUUGAUUCCAAGUUUCUAAGGAUUCUACAUAAUGCUUUCCAUAUUGGCUGCACCAAUUUGCAGUCCCACCAGCAAU